rnacentral:rRNA from 1 species
GAUGAACGCUGGCGGCGUGCUUAACACAUGCAAGUCGAACGAUUAAAGCCCCUUCGGGGGUGUAUAGAGUGGCGAACGGGUGAGUAACACGUGGGCAAUCUGCCCCUCACUUCGGGAUAACUCAGGGAAACCUGAGCUAAUACCGGAUACUCCGGUCUGACCGCAUGGUCGGACCGGGAAAGUUCCGGCGGUGAGGGAUGAGCCCGCGGCCCAUUAGCUUGUUGGUGAGGUAACGGCUCACCAAGGCGACGAUGGGUAGCCGAGCUGAGAGGCUGAUCGGCCACACUGGGACUGAGACACGGCCCAGACUCCUACGGGAGGCAGCAGUGGGGAAUCUUCCGCAAUGGACGAAAGUCUGACGGAGCAACGCCGCGUGAGUGAAGAAGGUCUUCGGAUUGUAAAGCUCUGUCGUUUGGGACGAACGUAUCCUGUGUGAAUAAUGCGGGGUAAUGACGGUACCAAAGGAGGAAGCCACGGCUAACUACGUGCCAGCCGCCGCUGUAACAC